rnacentral:misc_RNA from 1 species
UUAGACCGGAUAUUGUAAUCAGCGCGUUUGCGAUCGUCGAUCAGAAUCUCGUAAGCUUCGGAAACUUCUUUGAAUUUGAGCGUAGCGUUUUCCUUCAAGUGAUGCGAGGAAUGUGCGUGCUUGUCGGGAUGAAAUUCCAUUGCCAAUUUCCGAAACGCUUGCUUGAUUUCUUCCUUGCUCGCACUUCGUGUUAACCCUAAAACUCUGUAAUGAUCCAUUGAUGGAUUUUUUGGUGUCUG